rnacentral:rRNA from 1 species
UACGAAGGGGGCUAGCGUUGCUCGGAAUCACUGGGCGUAAAGCGCACGUAGGCGGACUUUUAAGUCAGGGGUGAAAUCCUGGAGCUCAACUCCAGAACUGCCUUUGAUACUGGAAGUCUUGAGUUCGAGAGAGGUGAGUGGAACUGCGAGUGUAGAGGUGAAAUUCGUAGAUAUUCGCAAGAACACCGGUGGCGAAGGCGGGUCUCUGGGCCGAUACUGACGCUGAGGAGCGAAAGCGUGGGGAGCGAACAGG